CGGUGUGCCGUGGGGGCCUGUUGGGGACUCUUUGCGUCGUUUGAUUUGCUUGGACGGCAUGCGCCUGGGCGAUCCGCCUCACGGUCCAUGACGGGUGGAUAAGGGGCGCUAUCAUGUGGCGGGUUUGGCGCGUGCCGUGCCAGCUGGACCCGCAUGUCGGUGAGGGGAAGCCCUGCGUCACGCUGGUUUGGUUGCGACAGGCGAGGCGUGUGUCGCGCCCAUAGGAUCGGCUAGUGUGUGGAGCUCCCUCUGUCGGGUUGGUUCGCUCAUGCCAGCCAGGUGUGUUUGCCUACCCGGCUUGUCAUCAUCGUUGGCAUUAUUUGGGUUGCUUGCUUUGUCCGGGUUGCUUGUUUUGGUUUGCUCGCGCUCGUCCCACAUGUUGGUCUGUGUUUCAUAUCCCGGUUUAGCGUGUGGGGAUAUUUUAGCAUCUCUCCGCCCUCCUUUGUUCCUCUCAUCUCAUGUCCUUUGGUUUAAUCAGUUGUUUCUUGCGGUCGAGCUAUUGGCUGGCUCUGUCUUUCAGUGUGUUGGGUUGACGCCUCGUAUUGGUGAGUCUAUUGGCCGGGCAUGCCGGCCGGGCAUGUCGGUAUGUGCUUCAUGUCGGUUCAACACACGGGGGUUAUCUUCGUGUCGUAGCUCCUUCCUUCCCCGCCGUCUCACAUCUGCCAAAGCAUCGUGGCUUCCUCUCGUUUGGCUCUUCUCUAAUUGCAAUGGACGAGGGGUCUCUGAGCUCUUUCGUCGGUCGUCCUGGUCGUCCUGCCAGCUGGUUGAGGUGAUUAAGCCGAUGGUCUCCUGUUGGGCGAGGUGCAGCGCGAAGGGAGCGACUUCCAUGCAGAUACUCUCCGACAUGACAACAUGCAGCCGCACGUCUGCCAGUGCGUGGGAGAGGCUAUGAUUGCACUCGCGUUGGUCUUGCUAAGGGGAGCGGCUGGUUGUUAUCGAUGCUCGGCUCGUCUACGGCCUCUUCCUUGUCUCACGGAUUUACAACCAGCUGUCAGAUCACUUGCUCCGGUUUGUUUCCUUGCCUACCGAGCAAGCUCUGCUAGUUCCCUUGAUAGGUCAAGGAGGUAAGUGCACUUUGUUGACCUUGCCUUUUUGCCUUGUGCUUCCCUUUGUCUAUUUGAAUUUGCUUCCUUGAACAUUUGAGUGUUCAUGGAAUUGCGGGGGUAUCUGGCUUUUGGCCACGCUCAAGCGCAUCUCCAGCCUUUUCCUUUUUGCAUGGAUGUGAAGCCAGUUGUUUGCUUGCCUGCUCCAGAUCCCCGCCUUCUACCAUCUCGCAAGGAACUGCAUACGACUGUUGGAUUGCCUACUCUUAUGGGCUAUUUGUUGCCUCUAGAUGCCCCUUUGCAUGUUCUGCCUGGCGUUGCUGGAGCAUGUCUCUGGCCUUUUUCCUCUCGCAUGGAUGUGUAGCUGGUUGCCGUCUUUCCUGCUCCGAAGGGCUCUUUGGUGGCUUCAGAUGGCCCUUUGGUCAUUCCGUUUGGUGGCGCGGGAGCAUGUUUAUGGCCUCUCCCUUCUCGCGUGACAUGCAUGCAACUAUUUGAUACGUCUCCAACGCAUCUAUAAUUUUUUUAUUGUUUCAUGCUAUUAUAAUAUCAAUCUUGGAUGUUUAUUAUGCAAUUAUAUAUCAUUUUUUAGGACUAACCUAUUAACUUAGUACCAAGUGCCAGUUGCUAUUCUUUUGCCUGUUUUUGGUUUUCCAGGAAAUCAAUGCCAAACGAAGUCCAAAUGCCAUGAAACUUUUUGACGAUUUUUUUCUGGACAUAAGAGACACUAGAAGCUUCGUGAGGAGACCAGAAGGCGAAGGAGUGGGCCACGAGCCACCAGGUAGGCGCGCCCUGGUGCCUCAUGGGCCCCUUGUUCCUCUGUUUGACCUAAUUCUAGCUCUAUAAAUUCUCUAAAAUCGGGAAACCAACAGAGAGCCACCCAAAAUACUUUUUCCGUCGCCACAAGCUUCUGUUCUCGCGAGAUCCCAUCCGGAGGCCUUUUCCGGCACUCCGCCUGAGGGGGAAUUGAUCACGAAGGGCUUCCACAUCAACCUUGCUGCCCCUCCGAUGAUGUGUGAGUAGUUUACCACAGACCUACGGGUCCAUAGCUAGUAGCUAGAUGACUUGUUCUCUCUCUUUGAUCUUCAAUACAAUGUUCUCCUCGAUGUUCUUGGAGUUCUGUUCGAUGUAAUCCUUUUUGCCGUGUGUUUGUUGGGAUCAAAUGAAUUGUGGGUUUAUGAUUGGUUUAUCCAUGAAUAUUAUUUGAGUCU